GGUUGCGGCCAUAUCUACCGGAAAGCACCGUUUCCCGUCCGAUCAACUGUAGUUAAGCCGGUAAGAGACUCAGAGAGUACUAUAGUGGGAGACCAUAUGGGAAAAUGAGUUGCUGCAAUCU
rfam:Zygosaccharomyces rouxii strain CBS732 chromosome E complete sequence.